rnacentral:rRNA from 1 species
GACGAACGCUGGCGGCGUGCCUAAUACAUACAAGUAGAACGCUGAAGGAGGAGCUUACUACUCUGGAUGAGUUGCGAACGGGUGAGUAACGCGUAGGUAACCUGCCCGGUAGCGGGGGAUAACUAUUGGAAACGAUAGCUAAUACCGCAUAAGAGUAGAUGUUGCAUGACAUUUACUUAAAAGGUGCAAUUGCACCACUACCAGAUGGACCUGCGUUGUAUUAGCUAGUUGGUGGGGUAACGGCUUACCAAGGCGACGAUACAUAGCCGACCUGAGAGGGUGAUCGGCCACACUGGGACUGAGACACGGCCCAGACUCCUACGGGAGGCAGCAGUAGGGAAUCUUCGGCAAUGGACGGAAGUCUGACCGAGCAACGCCGCGUGAGUGAAGAAGGUUUUCGGAUCGUAAAGCUCUGUUGUAAGAGAAGAACGAGUGUGAGAGUGGAAAGUUCACACUGUGACGGUAUCUUACCAGAAAGGGACGGCUAACUACGUGCCAGCCGCCGCAGUAA